rnacentral:lncRNA from 1 species
GCUCCAGCCCUGGCGCCGAGGGACCGGCCACCCCCUCCCGGCCCCGACGGUCACUUACGGUGGGGGCGGGUGCCGCCGGGAGCGCUGCCGGCCGCGGGGACGGACCCCGGCCCGCCUGCGACAGGGGUGCCGGCCGGGAGGGGGGCGGCCUCCCGUUCGGUGUCGGAAGGGUGAAUGUUUGCCGGAAACCCGGGCGUUUAUUCCACUUGGCAGAAGCGCAGGGGGUCGGGGAGGGGGCAGGGGUGCGACGGGCGGCACGCGGUGCCCGGGGAAGGGGGCGAAGAGCGGGGCCCGAUGUGCCCGCUCGCCGCUCGGCUCUCGGAUCCGCUACCCGGUGGCUGCCGCCGUGAGUCACCCCCGGCCGCGGCAGCGUCAGCCUCGCCGCGGCGUUGGCAGCCAGACGAGCCGCGGCGCGGAGCCGCCGCUGUCCUCGCAUGAACCCGGCGGGGCUGCCAGCGCCAGCCGAGUGCGCGCAAGGCGAGAGCCGAGGCUGUGCCGGCGCGGCGGCGUGCGACACCCCUGCGGCGGGGAUGGCGGAGCCGGGGCGGGGGGCGGGAGCGGGGGGGGGCAGCCCCUCGGCGGCCGGGCCCGAAAGAAAUACAGAUGCAAAAGCAGGACGUGGGUAAAUGAGAGAAGAUAAGGUAUUGCUCCUGCAAGCAGAACAUCCUGUCUUCAAAGUGGGCAUUGUGUUCCUGUGGCUCUCUUGGCGGCUUGCUCUCGGCUGGUACCGCAGCCCAGCGCCCCAGCAGACCCAGAGCGAGUUCCUGGGAUGAAGAACGGGAGGAGAAGGGGCAGCGCUGCCGGCAGCAGCGUCCCUGCCCGGGCGGCUCACGGGCUGCGCUCAGCGGGCUGCGGAGCUUGGGGCGGGCGUGCGGGCAGGACAGAGGGGAACGGGAGAGUGAAAAGGAAGGAAGAAGUAAGGAAAUAACUCAGCCAGCACAGACACAGCUCAGCUAAGUCUCCUGGAAGUUCCUCAGAAAAUCAGAAAACCGGCAAGAUGCGCGCAUAUGCUGUGCAUGUGUGAAGGGCGCGCACUCACAGGUGCGCCUGCGGGAGGGCUCGAGUGUGUGAGCGCUUGUCUGAACAGCAGCAACCUCCUGGUUCCAUUCUGCAGCCACGUCAGAAAUAAAAGAGGUGCUGGAAUAUUUACGGGGACCA